rnacentral:misc_RNA from 1 species
CAUUCUCAAACCUUCUCGGUUUCUCGACCGGGGAAGGCUUUGGACUUUGGAGGCUUUUGCUGACCUUCCUUCGUUGGAACCAGCUCCUCUGAAAUGAAUUAGUAGGGUCCACUUUGCCGAUCCUUGACGUGAUAAAAUGUUUUCUACGUCUCGGGUUUCGCACUGUUUUGUCCUGGAUCCUGCUUCUAACCGUCUCUCAGAAGACAGAUGGUCGAGUGAUCGUCGCUCGACCCACGAA